rnacentral:ncRNA from 1 species
GUGUGGUAUGAAAGGAAAGAAAGUUAGCACUAUCCUUGACAAGGAUGGAAGAGGCCCUUGGGCCUGACAACAUGCAUAUGGAUUAAAAAAUUUA